rnacentral:lncRNA from 1 species
CCCCGUUUCCAUUAAUUUCUUUACAUGAAAUAAAAUUGCCUAAUAACAUAUUUUCUAUAAAAUCUCUUUGAACAUGGUUGCCAAGAAGCAAAAUGUUCAAAUAUAUAACAAAAGCCUUAACAAAAAGGCUGAUGAGGCCAAAACAAGAGUGAAGGGCAACUUGUGUGAUGUUUGACACAUGGAAUGAAAGAUGAGAUGAGAUUUUGAG